CAUAUAGGUCCACGAUUGGCAGGAGCCACUUCAUGACUAAAGAGCUGCAGGGAUACAUCGAAGGGAUGAAGAAGCGCCGGAACAAGAGGCUGUACUGUUUGUCUCAGUGAACCUCCAGCUCAAGUGGCCGACGAGACGUCCUCCCCAUGUCCUUUCCGUCCCUCGAACCCAAGCUCGAACCCAAGCUCGAACCCAUCUGCAUGAAAUUUGAAUCAUAGAGAAAUUAAAGAGUCUAUGCAUGG
rnacentral:lncRNA from 1 species